ensembl:misc_RNA Metazoa_SRP Metazoan signal recognition particle RNA
GCCAGACAUGAUGCUUCGUGUCUGUAGUCCCAGCUACUAGGGAGGCUGAGGUAGGAGGAUCACUUGAGCCCAGGAGUUCGAGGUUGCAGUGAGCUAUCAUUGUUCCACUGCACUCCAGCCUGGGUGCCAGAGUGAGACCCUGCCUCAA